AAAUACCACCCGCACGCUCCGGUUCUGAGCGCGCCGUCCGCGCCCACCUGACGACUGCUCGCUACGUUUUGUUUUCC
rnacentral:sRNA from 1 species